UACAGAGGGUGCGAGCGUUAAUCGGAAUUACCGGGCGUAAAGCGUGCGUAGACGGCUAUCUAAGUCGGGUGUGAAAGCCCCGGGCUCAACCUGGGAAUUGCAUUCGAGACUGAAUAGCUAGGGUGCGGUAGAGGGAAGCGGAAUUUCCGGUGUAGAGGUGAAAUUCGUAGAUAUCAGGAGGAACACCGGUGGCGAAAGCGGCUUCCUGGCCCGACAUUGACGCUCAUGUACGAAAGCGUGGGGAGCAAACAGG
rnacentral:rRNA from 1 species